UACGUAGGGUGCGAGCGUUGUCCGGAAUUACUGGGCGUAAAGAGCUCGUAGGUGGUUUUGUCGCGUUGUUCGUGAAAACCGGGGGCUUAACCCUCGGCGUGCGGGCGAUACGGGCAGACUGGAGUACUGCAGGGGAGACUGGAAUUCCUGGUGUAGCGGUGGAAUGCGCAGAUAUCAGGAGGAACACCGGUGGCGAAGGCGGGGUCUCUGGGCAGUAACUGACGCUGAGGAGCGAAAGCGUGGGGAGCAAACAGG
rnacentral:rRNA from 1 species